GAUGAACGCUGGCGGCGUGCCUAAUACAUGCAAGUCGAGCGAACAGACGAGGAGCUUGCUCCUCUGGCGUUAGCGGCGGACGGAUGAGUAACACGUGGAUAACCUACCUAUAAGACUGGGAUAACUUCGGGAAACCGGAGCUAAUACCGGAUAAUAUAUUGAACCGCAUGGUUCAAUAGUGAAAGACGGUUUUGCUGUCACUUAUAGAUGGAUCCGCGCCGCAUUAGCUAGUUGGUAAGGUAACGGCUUACCAAGGCGACGAUGCGUAGCCGACCUGAGAGGGUGAUCGGCCACACUGGAACUGAGACACGGUCCAGACUCCUACGGGAGGCAGCAGUAGGGAAUCUUCCGCAAUGGGCGAAAGCCUGACGGAGCAACGCCGCGUGAGUGAUGAAGGUCUUCGGAUCGUAAAACUCUGUUAUUAGGGAAGAACAAAUGUGUAAGUAACUAUGCACGUCUUGACGGUACCUAAUCAGAAAGCCACGGCUAACUACGUG
rnacentral:rRNA from 1 species